CAGCUCUGGUUUGAGAGAAAGACCUGGUCCAGACGUAAUGGAGGCACCACCAAAAUGCAGUUAUUGGCAGCGUAACUCACUACAAACUGAAGGUCUUGCUGAGUUAUGUUUGUGGUUCAGUCUCCAGUGAGAUCCUGAGUGACAUUAAAUCCUCGCUUCUGAAGAUACAAUGCUGUUAUUUUGCCAGUUAAAUGUUUGUUUCUAUGUAUUCCAAGUUUCCCCACUUAGCAACAUGCUGCACUGGUUCUGUCACCAUGGCAACAAAAUAUCCCAUAAUGGCUCUGUCCUAUAGCCAAAAAAUAAAAGUUUCAAUUUCA